rfam:Gossypium arboreum cultivar AKA8401 contig_51589_1, whole genome shotgun sequence.
AACCCAUGCAUAGGACAUUUUCUAAACAAAUAUUUGAACCUUUCCCAUGCAUCAUAUAGUGUUUCAUCCUCUAGUUUCUUAAAGGAUGUUAUGUUAUUUCUCAGUUU